CCCUUAGACACUCUAGGCGGCACGCGCGCUACAAUGGCGGGAGAACGUGUUACUGCCACUGAAAAGUGGGGUGAAUCACGAAUCCUUGCCCGUGAAUGGGAUAGUUUGUUGCAAUUUUCGGACUUGAACUAGGAAUCCCUUGUAAGCAUGCUCAAGAAUAGCGUGUUGAAUACGUCCCUGCCGUUUGUACACACCGCCCGUCGUUUCUUCCGACUGAUACUCAUUGUGAGUUCCAAGGAUCCUUUAUUGGAAAAUUGCCGCGAAUGCUUUGUAUUGGAGGAAGAAAAAGUCGUAACA
rnacentral:rRNA from 1 species